GCCAGGGAUCGCGUAAACGGGGUAAAAACUCAUAUUCUUCCACGCGCCAUCGUCUCCUAAAUCCCAGACCGGAUGAUUAUCUGGAGGAGGGGUAGUAGUCGACGCAUCCGGAAGAUAAAAGACCGCAGCUUCGGGAGGGUUUCGGGACUGUACUGCCAAGAAAGAUAUGGUACAUGCAGAAGAGACCCAAGGAGCAAUGGAUAUAAAGUUUCUUGUACCAUGAAGAUCAGAUAGGCGAGUCACGUUGGCCGAGUCUGGACCUUAUCACCUAUACUGAGCGCAAAGGAAAUGCUGGGCUGGUGGAUUUUACAGGAAUAGUCAGCCUGUAGCUGUAGAGGUUGUCUCUAAGACUGGAUAGGGGCAGAAAUAUUCUUCUCACAUUGACUUGCACCGUCCCUGUUAACGGCAAACUAUCUACUGGCGGGAUAGCGAGGACUACAGCAUCGAAAGCGUUUGCAGCUAUGACAGCAUAUCAGCAAAGCCGUGUCAAGUUAUUCCCCUCAAAAAUAUGGAUUUGGCAAAGUUGGCUCUGCAUGGACCUCUUCUAGUCUUCCAUAACCGG
rnacentral:sRNA from 2 species